rnacentral:lncRNA from 1 species
AGGGCCAAAUCAUGUAAAGAGAGUCAAAUUGACGGGUCUAUAUUUAAGGGUAGAUAGAGAUAAGUUGAAAAUAAGAUCUUCUUUGAAGCUUAUAAAUAGGCAUAAGAAUUUGCAACGACUAUUCUCUUCUUGAAGUUCAACAUAAUAGUUUAUCUAAGAAUGGUUGGAUUCAAAUAAUAUCAAAUUGUAGUCAUAAGUGGUUGUGUUCCUACAAUAUUUAUAUUUAGCUCUGAGUCAACUAGAUACUAAGCAAUGAGUCCAAUCACAUAAAAAAUUAAUGUCACUCUCAACUCAAAACCUGAAGGCAAUAGAUUAACGAGUCUCCAUCUUUACAUGGUGCUUCACUUUCUCAUUUUUACCAAAUGUGAGACUUAGACUCACACUUGAAUUCCUAAGAAGACCACAAACAAUGUUAUUUUGAAGCUUAUGACAAAAAAACUUUGAGCAAGAAUAUUGACAACAUUUUGACAAAUAUAAAUCACAUUUUAUUCUUCAACUUGAAAGACUUCUUUAUAUAGGGUAUUGAGGAAAUAAUCAUUAUAAAUAUUUUUCUAGCAAUUGAGAAGCUUCAUAUCAAGUUUUCACCUUCAAGUUGUUGUUUGUUCCGCACAUAUGUAAAUAUACAUUAAAUACGCUUAAUGUAACAUUGAAUACUUAUAUAUUAGGUAUACAACAUCCUAAUAGCUUACAUGACUUAUCAUGGGUAGUUUAAAGAGCUGUCACUCAAAUUGGAGUAAAACAUGAAAGUAUAGAAACACAUUCUUUAAUAAUAGAAGAUUAGAAAUUACUUUCACAUUUCACUAUACAGAUCCAAA